rnacentral:rRNA from 1 species
GAUGAACGCUAGCGGCAGGCCUAACACAUGCAAGUCGAGGGGCAGCGGGAUUGAAGCUUGCUUCAAUCGCCGGCGACCGGCGCACGGGUGCGUAACGCGUAUGCAACCUACCCAGAACAGGGGGAUAACACUGAGAAAUUGGUACUAAUAUCCCAUAACAUCAUAAGGGGCAUCCCUUUUGGUUGAAAACUCCGGUGGUUCUGGAUGGGCAUGCGUUGUAUUAGCUGGUUGGUGAGGUAACGGCUCACCAAGGCAACGAUACAUAGGGGGAC